ACGUACUGUGCGAACGUUAUUCGGAAUCACUGGGCUUAAAGGGUGCGUAGGCGGCGAUUCAAGUCAGAUGUGAAAUGCCUGAGCUCAACUGAGGCAUUGCGUUUGAAACUGAAUUGCUAGAGUAUUUCAGGGGUGUGCGGAACUGCCAGUGGAGCGGUGAAAUGUGUUGAUAUUGGCAGGAACACCGGAGGCGAAAGCGGCACACUGGGGAAUAACUGACGCUGAGGCACGAAAGCCAGGGGAGCGAACGGGAUUAGAUACCCCGGUAGUCCUGGCUGUAAACGAUGAGCACUGGGCGGGAGGGGGUUUCCCUUUUCUGCCGUAGCGAAAGCGUUAAGUGCUCCGCCUGGGGAGUAUGGUCGCAAGGCUG
rnacentral:rRNA from 1 species